UACGGGGGAUGCAAGCGUUAUCCGGAAUCAUUGGGCGUAAAGCGCCUGUAGGUUGUUUAAUAAGUCUGUUGUUAAAGCCUAGGGCUUAACCCUAGAAAAGCAAUGGAAACUACUAGACUAGAGUAUGGCAGGGGCAGAGGGAAUUUCUAGUGUAGCGGUGAAAUGCGUAGAUAUUAGAAAGAACACCGGUGGCGAAAGCGCUCUGCUGGACCAUUACUGACACUCAGAGGCGAAAGCUAGGGUAGCAAAAGGGAUUAGAUACCCCUGUAGUCCUAGCCGUAAACGAUGGAUACUAGAUGUUGUGCAUAAUGUACAGUGUCCUAGCUAACGCGUUAAGUAUCCCGCCUGGGGAGUACGCUCGCAAGGGUG
rnacentral:rRNA from 1 species